UCUCUUCUCCUUCCGGCAUCUCCAUUUAAACCGGAGCUCACAGCAAUGCGCAUGAGCGGUGUGGUUAGCUGUGAGGCGCUCGAGUUGCGGGGAGAAAAACAAAAGCUGUCAAGACUUUGCCUGCAGUUUUUUCCUUGCAAGGUUGCAAAUUUCAUCAAUGGCGAUGCCGGUGGAGAUGGCGGUGUGCAUCGCGCACAACGUAUUCUUGCUACUGGACAGCUGGAUCUGGACGUGCGUCCUCGCUGCCGACGAGGCCGCGCGCCUCCUCCGAUCGGCCACACGCUGAUCCUCUAGCUGACUCACGGUCCCCAGUGUCCACGUACAAAGCCAAAGAUAUCAUCUACUCCAGUGUUAACCGACACCUAUACCCGAACUAACCGUAUAAAGUUCGGUUAGUUGGAAGCAGGGACCGAAUUUAUGACCGAAAAGUUCGGUCUCGGUCUUGGUCAGUUUGGUUCGGUCUUCGGUCUUCGGGUAAUUAUGCCCAGAGUGACUCCUACAUGACCUCCUCAACCAGUCCCCUUAGUACAGGUUUGGGAUACAACAAAUAUCUGAUGGAGCAGUAUGCAGAUGGACUGUUAUUCUAUCGACUCAUGCUUGUUGCAAGCUUUGCUCAAACUCUGGGUGUAACUUGUGAUUUGUUUGUGUUUCAUGAUCUGUAACAAUUAAAACUGUUAGUUUCGGCUGAUCCUGAUAUUCAGUACCAUGGAUCUUCGCCUCAGUAGAUAGGAGUAACAUCUUUUUUCUCGUAUCAGAUGUACAGUGACGAGUUGGUAUGGGAAAAGUUCAUUUGUGUUCAGUUUGGAGUAAAAGUUA